UUGAGUUUGAUCCUGGCUCAGGACGAACGCUGGCGGCGUGCUUAACACAUGCAAGUCGAACGAUGAAGCCCUUCGGGGUGGAUUAGUGGCGAACGGGUGAGUAACACGUGGGCAAUCUGCCCUUCACUCUGGGACAAGCCCUGGAAACGGGGUCUAAUACCGGAUAACACUCCUACAGGCAUCUGUGGGGGUUAAAAGCUCCGGCGGUGAAGGAUGAGCCCGCGGCCUAUCCAGCUUGUUGGUGAGGUAGUGGCUCACCAAGGCGACGACGGGUAGCCGGCCUGAGAGGGCGACCGGCCACACUUGGGACUUGAGACACGGCCCAGACUCCUACGGGAGGCAGCAGUGGGGAAUAUUGCACAAUGGGCGAAAGCCUGAUGCAGCGACGCCGCGUGAGGGAUGACGGCCUUCGGGUUGUAAACCUCUUUCAGCAGGGAAGAAGCGAAAGUGACGGUACCUGCAGAAGAAGCGCCGGCUAACUACGUGCCAGCAGCCGCGGUAAUACGUAGGGCGCAAGCGUUGUCCGGAAUUAUUGGGCGUAAAGAGCUCGUAGGCGGCUUGUCACGUCGGGUGUGAAAGCCCGGGGCUUAACCCCGGGUC
rnacentral:rRNA from 2 species